UUUUAGUUAAACUAAACCUUCAGACCAACCUUUAACCUGAUACGUGUCCAUUUGUUUAUUGAUUUCAGUUGAGACAGGACCAGGGUAAAAGUAAUUGCAAAUUAUUUUCUUCCAUGCGUUCCAGGGAUCCAAUUUGGAUUUCUUUCUGAAAGACUUAGAUAAACUGUAUUUAGCAACGGAGGAAAAAAAGCAACUCAGUCUACAAGCUCACAAUGUUCUGUAGCUUUGUCCACUCCACCUGUUUUAAGGCCUGAAUUACCAAGGAUAAAUGGAUACUAAACCUUGUGCAAAUGGUACCUCCACCACACUGUGAUUUCUGGGAACAUAGCCCACAUUCAUUGUGCCACAAUGACUGGACUUGUUUUGGGACAGGCCUGCAUUGCUAGAAGACUGUUGCCCCUCCUCAUCCUCCAAGCAGACAUAUUUGAAGGUAUUUGUCAAAACCCCUAAUGUUUGGUUUUCUAUUUGCUUUUUUUCAGUUUCUGCCAGAGCAUUAACUACUAAGCUGUUGUCAUCUAUUCCUGCUGGUAAAUUUAUGGUGGAAUAAGCACCUAGUGAGGUUGCAGCAUCCAGGGCAUGAAUAUGACAACCACUUCAUGGACAGCCACAAUAAAUUCAUAACUGCCUCUCUGCAGACCAUCCUACUGUACUGUGCAGAAUUAGCACAGUACAGUAGAAUCAUCAUUAUGCUUUUAAGUGUCAAGUUGGUUCACACAUCUGAGCAGCUGAGCAGUGCAGCAGUAAAUUGCAGCAGUGCUCCACAGUACAGCUAUGUGCACACUGUAUCCAUCUCCUGCAGGCCUGGUUAGUGCUGGCCAAACAUUAGAACUCUUGGGGUAAUAGAGGUUCUUUGGUUUGGCCACAGAUUACAGGCAUCAGAAGUAAACCAAGAACGGGCUUUCAGAGAACAGGGAACUCACAAUAUGUAGGGAACAUAGUGUGAGUAUUACUAUGCUCUUCUAUUACUAAUACCACCAUUAGUUCAGUUACCAUAAAUAAUGUCACCUGCAGCAUUUUUGCACUGUCAGGGCAAGUUCAGAGAAGAACUUUUCCAUACAGAAAAGGAUUUUGAGAAAGUCUUGUAUUUUCUGACUCAUGAAACUUAUCUUCAUUGCCAAACAGAGCUUGGCAAAAGAAAGUCUGACUGCAUGCUUACAGCUGCAGGGAGGGAGGGAGGCAAAGUGAGAUGCAGUUUCAAAAGUCCUUUCAAGAGUAAAUGAGUGAGUAACGAAAUGGCAGAUUAUAUUCAAUCCAAAUAUUAAACAUACACAAUGGAUUACUUUAAUUUACUUAGCACCACUUAGGAAAGAGGCCUCUGAGUCAUCAUAGCUGUUGUACUUCUCCCAGCAGUGCCUUCCUUUAGAGGCAAGUCGCAGCACAGACUGCAUGGGCUGUAUAGAAGUGGGAUUUGCUGAAAAUCAACAACAUCCUCUUUUUAAAGGAGAUUUAGAGGUUUUGGGUAAAGCCAUAAGGGAAACCUGUGGUGUGAGCAUUCACGAGAAAAAUUAUAAGGACUGUACAAGCGGUAAUGGUACGAUAGAACAACAAGUAGUGAUAUGUUUAUUUACAUAUUCAUUUAUUGUACAUAAACACUUAAACACAUUUUGAGUAAUGUUUUUUUUUCAAGAAGUCUCUUCUUACAAGUAUGAAUCAAUAAAACAGCUCACAAACUUAAGCAAGAAGACACCUGACUAUUUGCCAGGUAAGACAUUUAAUGCUGUGCAGUGGUGUUUUUAUUAGUCUAUUUCUAAAAUUUGUAAUUUAUUCAUAUUUCUCGCUACAGCUUAUUUAUUGCCCAAAUUUGUUUAAUUUUUGGAUAGUGUUUCCUCAAAUAAAUAAACCAUGCCCUUCAACUGUUCCUUGCAGUCAAUUAUAUUAACUAGGACAGCUAUUCUCUGGACAUUUUAUAAGACACUGAAACUCUUAUCUGAAGUAGGCCACCAACUAAUUGCUAUGCACAGGCAACAACGCCACAUUAUUUCUGAAACUCUGUCAUUCUUGUCCUGUAACUGCAAAUCCACAGUAAUGGUGAAUUGUCUUUUACAUGACCACUUGAAACCAGAAAAGCUGCUGUUUAAACAAAGCCUCUGUUAUUUCUUUUCUUUUGCACACCAGAAAAUAACAUUGGACAUUUUCAAAAACUGAGGUCAGAAGAAAUAAUCUUAACUAUGUAAAAGGACAUGAUGCUAUUUGAAAAACAUUGUCAAACUUCAAAAUGACCAGGUUAGUUCAUCUUCAAAAUAUUGUCUUAGAAAUACAGCAUCCUUUUGGGGUUUUAGUAUGGGAAGUUAUUGUUAUCUCAGUAGAAAUCUUUUUUAGAUGCUUGUCAGCUUCAUAUUAAGAAUUUAUGCAGAACAACUGUAUUAAAACUAUAGUCUCCAGACCUUUGAGGGCAUCCAUAGAGCUGUACAGAAAGACUCUUUGGAUGACAAGGGGAACAGAUCUAUCAGUGAAUAAGUUCAUGGGACACUGACUGCUACUACCUGAAUAAUCAUGAGGUAAGAAUAAUCUUAAAAGUGGUGGAAGAGAAACACUCUUCUUUAUGCUCUAGUGAAGCAUGAACUCUAAGCCAUUACUUGAGUGUUCUCUUUCAGAUGUUGGUAAAAUGAUAAUCAGUGGGAUCGAGUGCACCCUCAACAGGUUUCCCAGUGGCACAAAGCUGUGUGGUAUGGUUGACACACUAGUGGGAAGGAAUGUCAUCCAGAUGGACCUGGACAAUCUUGAGAGACAAGCCUAUGGGGACCUCCUGAAAUUCAACAAGGCCAAGUGCAACCCUAACCGUAUCACUGCACCUGGGCCAGACAAUCCUGAGUACAAAUGCAGGCUGGGUGGAGAAAGGAUUGAAAGCAGUCCUGGGAAGGAAGACUUGGGGGUUUGGUCGACAAGAAUCUCAACAUGAGCUGUGAAAGUGUACUUGCAGACCAGACAGGCAACCACAUCCUGGGCUUUGCACUAUGGAGACAGGCUGAGAGAGCUGGAAUUGUUCAGCCUGGAGAAGAGAAGGCUCUGGGAAGACCAGUACCUACAAGGAAGAUGGAGAGGAAUUUUUUACAAGGUCAUGUAGUGAUGGGACAAGGAGGAAUGGCUUUAGACUGAUCUCUUUCAGGUUUAGAUUAGCUACCAGGAAGAAUUUAUUCACUAUGAAGAUGGUGAGGCACUGGAACAGGUUGCCCAGAGAAGCUGUGGAUGUCCCAUCCUUGGAAAUGCUCUAGGCCACGUUGGAUGUGGCUUUGAGCAACCUCUUCUAGUGGGAGCUGUCCCUGCCCACUGCAGAAGGCUGAAACCAGAUGAUCUUUAAGAUCCCUUCUGGCCCAGGCCAUUCCAUGAUAUUUCUUUUCCCCUUGUGUUUUGUACUCAUGCUGAAGCUAUCUAGGCCUUUUACAAGUUAUUGCAAACCAAGCAUCAUUGCCAUUGAUGCUCAUGAUUCCUUUACCUAGUCUUUACAGCCUCCUGUUAAAGCAGAGUGGCAAUUCUCCACCUCAAAAAGUACCGCCUCAUCCUUCUUCCCUGAUGAUUCAACUGAUUUUUAACUUUUAAUUGGUCUUGUCUAAAUGAUUUGUACAUAAAAAACCUAGGCACUGGAAUCUCAUGUGCUAAACCUCUCAUGCUUUGGCAAGUGAACAGCAUGUUAAGGACCCCACACAGUUCCUUUUGCAUAGGGAAGAGUUUCUGGUGAACUAGGACUUGUGUUUGAUCUUCUGUAAACAUUUUUGUCAGAGGUUUGUUUUUAACAUUGUUAAUGAUUUGGAAAACAAAACAGAGUUUGUAGAACAAUCUUCAAAUAUUUAUGGUAAUUAGCACGUGGAAAAGAAAAAGCCCUUCAUGGGCUCCUGUGUAUAGGAUAUGAAGAAGUUAAAAGAGGAAAAUUUCUGAGCAUUUGUCUGUUGCUAAACUGUUAAAAUUCCUGUGCCAGACGUAACCAUGGAAGCAAACAAUGGAAGUGCACUUGCUAAUACUAUUCCAAAAUUAUCCCAAAGGUGCUGAAGUUGUUUGAAAUUUUGUCUGUAAUUUGCAGAGCUGAAAGAAUUCACCCUCUUUUUAUAAACAAUGGAAGGAGUCUCACAGAUUUUCCACUCAUUGCUGGAACAUAGAUCUGAUACAGCAAUUUAAGUAAAAGUGCUGUUUGGGGCCUUUUUCUAAAUCCUAUUAUUCCUAGCAAGACAGUGAACUCCCAGCAUUAUGGUACAAAUCAUACCAUAAAGUCAUAGUUAUUUAAUUCUGGCAUUCAAAAAUCUUCAGUUCUAAAUUCAGUGUUAGCGCAACUAAAAUGAAGCCAAGAAAAAUUUGUUCUGAGACAGUUAACCAAACAGUCUAAAAAUUUUUAAUUCUCCUAAUCUGAAACAUUCUUCUACAAAAUAUUUAAGAUGGAAAUAAAUGUGCACAUCUAAAUUUCUAAAACUACAUGCAAUGUUAAAUAUAGGCAUUUGCAUUAGUGAUGAAAAGAUAACACUAUCAAGAUUUCCUAUCCUUCAGAUAAGCAGGCUUUGGAAUCUAGAAAUAUUUUACAUUCCUGAUUCCCAGCCAAUUCAGGAAAUUAAUUUUAACAGGGUAUUUCAAGGAAGAUUUGCUUGAUUUUAAACAGUUUGAAGAGAGGGAAUGUGAGUUUUCACGCCUUCAUGUAGGUCAUUUAAGUCACUCCAGAGUGUCUGUAUAUUCAAAAUACUGGCAUUUUAAAUCACCUUUGAAAUCUAUUAUUCCUCACAUUAGUUUUGUUCUUGUGAGAUUAAAAGACAACAAGUGAAUAGUUGGGCCUCUAUAGUUUUGGUGUAUUUUUUGUAGAAAUAGAAAAACCCUUAGAAAAUGGCACUAUUAUGACAAACACUGAAAAAUGGUUAGAUGCUUAUUUUGAGCAUUAUUUAAUCUUCUUGAAACAGCCAGAAUAUCUUCUGAGAACAUGCUGCACUGCUGCAUGCAUAUUUUAAUUGCCUUGUGCUAGAUUUACUAUAAUAAGGACAUGGUCUACCAGUCAAAAUGUUAACACUGGCAUGUGGGAAAAUUGAAGUCUCAUUCUACUCCCGUAUGCCUACUGUGAAGCAUAAGUGAGUGGCUAUGUAGAUAUGUAACUACUUCUAUAUGUCUCGUCCUAAUUUACAUCUGACUUGAGAAGUGCUGGAAGUUCCUAAUGGUACCAUGCAUAUGUGGACAUUUUCUCACAGUGCUUCAACAUCUCCAAGAUGGGCCAGGCAUGGCUUUUUUACUGUGACACCUGGAAAAUGGAAUGUUGACUAACAGAAAUUGUAUCAGGCAUUCUUACUGUUUUAUUGAUUUUUAUAUAUAUUAUGUAUGUAGCAGGCUGAAAUAAUUUUAGUAUUUCUAUGAACCCAGCAAGGGAUUCCAAAAUCUUAGGAUUGUGCAGUCUUAGGAUACUUACUACCAGUUGUUGAAGUUCAACAGUUUAACUAAAUUUAAUGCAUGUAGGAUAAAGCUCUUAACAAAAAGGGAUAAAGUGUGAGAGGUAUGAAUCAAGUUCUGAAUAAAAAUCCCACUGGUCAAACAGCUAUAAGCCUUAGUAGAAGGAGA